GUGCUAGAGAGAAGAAAACACUGGGAGCUAAGCUAAGCUACUAAGCUGCUGUGAUGUUGCGUAAGGUUCAAGGUUGCUGCCUCCGGGUUCCUGAAUUUCCUGCUCUGACUUUACUCAGUAAAGGACUUUUAAACUGUAAGGGCCAUUAGUUUUCUGGAGGAGCAAGAAGCUGCCUUGGGUGCCACCUUAUGCCCUGCUGUCCCCGUAGUACUCUCCAUCAGGAACAGAUCUCACGGUGGCAACAGGACUCUGCAUUUUCAGUGUUGACUCCUGGCUGGCUGGUAAUGAUUGAACAUACACUCUGUCAACCGAGGCAACAGUAUAAGCUAGAAGCUAAUGAGCAAGGGAGUGAACUGUUCACAUGGACACUGAACACCAGGGUACCAUUUAGAAGAGGAAUGGAACAAUGGAGAACGAGGCUCCACAUCUGUGAUCAAGCAAAGCUGAUGGACCAACGUGACUCUCUGCAGUGAGAGCAAGGCGCUACUCCUUGAAUGGAGGAGCCCGUGAGAUAAGAGCAGGAGGAAGGCCUCACUGAGGCCCGCACUCUUCUUCUCCAGGCAGAGUGACAAUCCCAGCAGUUGUGCAAGUCAAAACCCUCUCUUUCUUUCUCACAUGCAUCCCAGCCUUCCAGUCCACACAUACAAGUUAAUGUGGAGGUAAGGGGAGCAGGGGUUACACACGGACAAAGCUUUCCUAAACUCUGUAUCAUAGUUGUGAGAUUAAACAACUCAUUACACAGCUCUUACUGUAAUUUAGAUGGGGAGAAAUAACAUUACUAUACAACCACAUUAAGCAUAUGGGCUCAUAAAAAUGCCCUGCCAACCCCAAGAACAACAUUUGUUUAUGUAAAAGAUGUUACUAUGCUUAAGGCAAUGUGCUCAGUUCUGAGUCUUUUUGUGUUAGUGUAGAUAGCAUCAGAGUACCAUUGAGGCCAGGCUCAACUCUAUACUACCUCCAAACAUUUCAAUACUUCAUGCUUGUAAGUAUUCAGAAGUCACUAUGGCUCUUUUUUUUUUUCUCCCCAAGACAGGGUUUCUCUGUGUAGUUUUGGCGCCUAUCCUGGAUCUUGCUCUGUAGAUCCACCUGGCUCUGCCUCCCCAGUGCUGGGGUUAAAGGCAUGAGCCACAGCCGUCCAGCCACUAUGGCUCUUUUAUACACACUCAUAAUACUUCAAAGUACAAUAAGAAAAAAAAAAAUCUAGAUUUUUAUUUUAAAUAUUUUAAUGAAUUAAUAUUCUUUUUGGGACCCACAUGCUUUUCAUAUUUAAAUUUAGGUUGUAAAACAAGUUCAGCAAUUAUACAACAAAAUGGGUUGCUGCAAACUAUAGCUGUAUUUACUGAAUGAUCUGUUUUAGAAAGCCAUAAUACUAACUCUGAAAAGUUCCAAGGAAGGACACCAAGACUCAAGCCUUGUCCUGUCCUGACAACUUUCACAGGGCAGCAGAUAUUCCCCAUAUUCUGCCGUGUUUGCAUCAACAUCCUUCACUUUAAGAGUUAAUUUCUGUCCACAAUCCUUGGAUACGGAACAGUCCCAACAAAGGACAAAAGCUAACUUGCUUAACCUAAAAUGCUGGCAUCCAACAGGGUUGCAAAUUAUGGGAUAGCAACAGAAGAGCAAAGUCCCUGGAAAGGGAAGUUCCUGCCUCUCCUGGAACAGAGAUCCCUGUGGUCUCCUAAAUGUCAGUAAAAGACAUGGAGGGGAUUGGAAGGGAAUCAAGUAUCUGUGCACAAAAGAAGCUUCAGCAGCAGCUCCCCCAUCUGCACCAGCUUCGGUGAGAUACCUGAGUCUCAUGACAUAAAAAUGCAUCGCUGCCAAUAAAAUCUCUGAAGACUGACCAUCUGUGCCGUGAGGAGGUGCCAGCACAGAGCGGCUGUAGCAGAAAUGGGACAGAGCAGCUCUGACAGGGUGACGCCACCUCCCCGCCUGUGCACGCAACUCAAAGAAAGCACUCAGAUGCCAUUUUGGAAGAAAUGUUUUCAAGUUCAUUUUGCACACAUCAAAUAAAGAAAAAAACAAGUAAACCAAAAUCUUAACUUCCUUCAUCACAGACCUCUCGUCCUAGGGAAGUCUGUGUUUACAAAAAGUUGUUCUGUGUCCCCUUUGAAUUAAAUAAAUCCUAAGACUAAAACAAAACAA